rnacentral:rRNA from 1 species
AGAGUUUGAUCAUGGCUCGGGACGAACGCUGGCGGCGUGCCUAACACAUGCAGGUCGAGCGGAGACAGUGAGUAGCUUGCUAUGAGCUGUUUUAGCGGCGGACGGGUGAGUAACGCGUGAGCAACCUUUCCCAGACAGGGGAAUAACACACCGAAAGGUGUACUAAUACCGCAUAAGACCACGGGAUCACAUGGUUCUGGGGUAAAAGAUUUAUCGGUUUGGGGUGGGCUCGCGUCCGAUUAGGUAGUUGGUGAGGUAACGG